rnacentral:rRNA from 1 species
GAUGAACGCUGGCGGCGUGCCUAAUACAUGCAAGUCGAGCGAACAGACGAGGAGCUUGCUCCUCUGACGUUAGCGGCGGACGGGUGAGUAACACGUGGAUAACCCACCUAUAAGACUGGGAUAACUUCGGGAAACCGGAGCUAAUACCGGAUAAUAUAUUGAACCGCAUGGUUCAAUAGUGAAAGACGGUUUUGCUGUCACUUAUAGAUGGAUCCGCGCCGCAUUAGCUAGUUGGUAAGGUAACGGCUUACCAAGGCAACGAUGCGUAGCCGACCUGAGAGGGGAGCGGGCCAACAGGAAAGUGGGCCCGGGCCAGACACCCAAGGGAGGGCAGAAGGAGGAAAUCUUCCGAAAGGGGGAAAAGCCGGACGGGGCACCGCCGGGGGAGGAAGAAAGUUUUUGGGAUGGAAAAACUCUUUUAUUGGGGAAAAAAAAAUGGUAAGGAAAUAUGCCCGUUUUGACGGUACCUAAACAAAAAGCCCCGGCUAACUACGU